CGCCCCCCUCUGUGAUCCUCUUAUUGCUCCACGAAGAACGAGAAAGCGUGCGCGCGAUUUCGCGAUUUUAGGGUUAGGGUUUUCUCCAUCUCCGGUCCUCUCUUCCUCCUUUCGAUCGGGUUUUCCAUCCCGAACGUCUGCAAGGCCCGAUCGGGCCGCCGGCAUCCCCCUACUCCGUUUGAUGCAUGGAUUCCGGCCCCCUUCCCGCCGCUACCGCGGACGACGGCGUCGGUGAGAGUCGCCGGUGGGCCGACUGCAAGGUAUAUACGCGGAGGAACCGUGCCAAGAAGAACACUCCAAGCGCGGUCCAGGAUCCGCAGCCGUCAUCCCGAGAAACCCUAGCCGAGAACCCUCAGCCCUCACCCGUCGGAACCUUAGAUGAAAACCCUCAGCCGUCAUCCCGUGAAACCCUAACGACGACAAAGACCAAGGACGACCUUCAAUCCUCCCUCCAUCAGCCUCCGGCGGCGGAACCUCCUUCUGGACAUCAGCCUCUGGUCAGUCUCCACCCCGUGUCGGAUAACGAACCCUUCAGCCUCAAUCGUCCAUGCCCGGAGGGGACGAUCGUGCCUGACAUCAAGGCCUCCGCCCCUCACGAAAAUGGCUCGUUGGAGAACGGGAGAGACGAACCAUCGCAGCUGGAGUUACUGAAGAUCCGGCAGAAGCUCCUUGCUGAUCUCGCUCAGGUGAGGGAUCUUUUCAAGAGGCUUGAGGCCCGUCAGAUUGAGCUCUUUGCUGUGCAUGUGGAUGGUGAUGGUGGAGCUCCUUCUCAAUUCUCAGCUAAUCAUGGGAAUACUACUAUGUCAGGAAAGAGAGCACCAGCCCUUGUUGAAGCUGAUUCGGUGGACCCUCCCGCAGCACAUUCCUAUUUUGACAUCCCAGUGCCUCCCAAUGUCAGUGGAAAGAAUAGCAUAGCUAACUCGAUGCUGGUGGAUGAGGUAUUUUCUGUCCCUGCUGCAGGUGGUGCCGGUGCCCGUUCUCAACUUUCGGUGAACCAUGCGACAUCACCUGUGGCAAUUCAGAGAGCACCUGUUGUCUUUGAUGCUCUUCCAAACAGUCCCGCUCUUCUCCCCUUUCGUCCCCGGCUCAGCAUCAUAGUGCCACAUGGUGCUGGUUCUAGGAAUAACAUCAGUGAAUUGCCCUUACAGAAGGAGAAGAGAACACCUAAGGCCAACCAAUACUUUCAUAGUUCAGAUUUCAUUUUGGGUAAGGAUAAGAUUCCUCCUCCACCAUCUCUGAAGAAGUCCAAGACCAGCAAAAGCAAGAAGAAUUUUACAGAAUCAGAUUAUAAGACAUCGCCUGAAAAGAAAGUAUAUACUAGUGCCUUCAAGAGCUGUCGGGCAUUGCUGGAGAAACUCAUGAAGCACAAGUUUGGAUGGGUGUUUAAUAAACCAGUAGAUGUUGAUGGUCUUGGUCUCUAUGAUUAUUUCUUGAUCAUUAAGCACCCGAUGGACCUUGGCACUGUAAAAUCUCGCCUUGCUGAUCAUUUCUAUGAAACUCCAGAAGAAUUUGCAGAAGAUGUCAGACUUACUUUCAGGAAUGCAAUGACAUAUAAUCCUGAUGGCCAGGAUGUUCAUUUCAUGGCACGGGAGAUGUCCAACAUCUUUGAGGAACGGUGGCUUGUGAUUGAGACUGAGUUUACAGAUCAAUUGCACCACUUAUAUUCAGUCAAUAAGAAAAGGGCUCCUCCUUUAAGGGGAACUAUGGAAAGGUCAGACUCCACAGUGCAUCCGAUAGUUGUUGAUUUGCGAAAAGAACAAAAUCAGUAUCACCAUUUUGACCGGCCUAUUGCUUUGAAGAAACCAAAGGCUAAAGACUUGUACAAGAGGGAGAUGACAUUGAAGGAGAAGCAAACUUUAAGUCGUCACUUGGAGAGUCUGCCGCCGGAAAAGUUGGAUUUGGUUGUGGAAAUUAUUAAGAAGAGGAAUUUUGCUUUGAGUCAACAUGAUGAUGAGAUUGAAGUGGAUAUUGAUAGUGUGGACACAGAUACGCUCUGGGAACUUGAUAGAUUUGUGUCAAAUUAUAAGAAGACAUUAAGUAAGCACAAAAGGAAGGCAGAGCUAGCGAUGCUGGCUAGGGCUGAGGCAGAGCACCUCAGCCAAGAAAGAAUGAAUGGAGAGGGUCCUGAUCCAGUUGCUUCAUCAGCACAGCAAACUGACGAAGCAAUGCAAGACCAGAAUGAUGUUGCUGCUCAUCUAGUUGUUGGAGGAGUGAACAAUGGCAAUGAUGCAAUUGGAUCAAGUAGUUCCAGUGGAUCUAGCAGUGAUUCAAGCUCGGAUAGUGGUAAUAUUUUGAUACAACACAGUCAGAUUACAAAAUUAGGGAUAUAUAUAUUUUUUGUUUUCCAAUUGAGAAUGCAUGUUGUAUGUAGCUAUUGUAUAUUUUAUUAUCCUGUAUGUCAAUGGAGACAAAAUUGAAUUAUGUUUUGUUUUUAUUGUGUACAAUUGUCAACUUAUACUGUUAAUUGCAGACUCUGACAGUGGAAGCUCCUCGUCAUAUGAAUCAGAUGCGCCACAUUGAUCCUGAAGAGAAAUAAAAUAGCUUCUACGGAAGAUAUAUCAAAGCUCUGUGAAUGUGUGGACGAAUUGCUUCCCAAGUUUUUCCCGUGAAUUUGCCUAAAAAAAGGUGAUGACUCCAUAUAAGUUGUAUGAUUGUAUCCCCCAUGAAACUGGUCUUAUUAUUGACUCUUGUAGUUGGAUAAGGAUGCUAACCACAACAAACCGGCAAUUUUUUGAGAUGGGACUUCUUUUUAGCAGUUUCUUCUGCUUAUAUUUGUACAGAAAGAUUUAAGAUUUGUAGUAGUUUCAGAAUGACAGGUUAAAUUAUAUCUUUUGUCCCCAUUGCACGGUUCGUGUACACUAGCAUUUUCUGUUUAUGUAAGUGUUGUUUUCUAACU